CAAAGGAAUUGACGGGGAGCACCACAACGGGUGGAGCUUGCGGUUUAAUUGGAUCAACGCCGGAAAUCUUACCGGGACCGACAGCAAUAUGAAGGCCAGGCUGAAGACUUUUGCCGGAUUAGCUGAGAGGUGGUGCAUGGCCGUCGUCAGUUCGUACUGUGAAGCAUCCUGUUAAGUCAGGCAACGAGCGAGACCCACGCCCACAGUUGCCAGCGUACUCUCCGGAGUGACGGGUACACUGUGGGGACCGCCGCUGCUAAAGCGGAGGAAGGAAUGGGCAACGGUAGGUCAGUAUGCCCCGAAUAUCCCGGGCUACACGCGAGCUACAAUGGUUGGUACAAUGGGUAUCUACCCCGAAAGGGGACGGAAAUCUCCUAAAACCAAUCUUAGUUCGGAUUGAGGGCUGCAACUCGCCCUCAUGAAGCUGGAAUCCGUAGUAAUCGCGUUUCAACAGAACGCGGUGAAUACGUCCCUGCUCCUU
rnacentral:rRNA from 1 species